CCCUUAGAUGUUCCGGGCCGCACGCGCGCUACACUGAUGCAUUCAACGAGUCUAAAACCUGGUCUGAGAGGGCUGGGUAAUCUUUUGAAAGUGCAUCGUGAUUGGGAUAGAUGAUUGCAAUUCUUCAUCUUCAACGAGGAAUGCCUAGUAAACGCAAGUCAUCAGCUUGCAUUGAUUACGUCCCUGCCCUUUGUACACACCGCCCGUCGCUCCUACCGAUUGAACGAUCCGAUGAAAACUGUGGAUUGAGAGUCUGAGUGGGUUCGCCUACCUCAACUUUCGAGAAGCGGUUUAAAUCUUAUCGUUUAGAGGAAGGAGAAGUCGUAACA
rnacentral:rRNA from 1 species